UCGAGAAGCUUCGGCAAUGGGCGAAAGCCUGACCGAGCGACGCCGCGUGAGCGAUGAAGGCCCUAUGGGUUGUAAAGCUCUGUCAGAUUGGGAAGAAAACUUCGGGGUUAAUACCCCCGAAGCUUGACGGUACCAUCAGAGGAAGCACCGGCUAACUCCGUGCCAGCAGCCGCGGUAAUACGGAGGGUGCAAGCGUUGUUCGGAUUCACUGGGUAUAAAGGGUGCGUAGGCGGCGCGAUAAGUCAGGGGUGAAUAUGUCGGCUCAACCGACAAACUGCCUCUGAAACUGCCGCGCUUGAGGUCGGGAGAGGAAGGUGGAAUUCCAGGUGUAGCGGUGAAAUGCGUAAAUAUCUGGAGGAACACCAAUGGCGAAGGCAGCCUUCUGGCCCGAUUCUGACGCUGAGGCACGAAAGCCAGGGGAGCAAACG
rnacentral:rRNA from 1 species